rnacentral:pre_miRNA from 1 species
CCGACAGAAGAGAGUGAGCAUAUAUAGUUGUUUUCUUGCAUGUGUGGUUGUAUGUGUGUUGGCUACAAAGAGAUAUAGAGUCCAUGUGCUUGAAGCUAUAUGUGCUCACUUCUCUUUCUGUCAG